UGUGUUUGAGAAGGUUGUUUGCUUGCAGCUCUAUCACCACAACGUGGACUCAUGCUUUAUGGCUCUUCUUCAGAAACCUACUAGUAUCACUUGAGGCAACUCCAGAUGCUGAAGAAAUAUCAGGAUUUGGUUCACCUCACCUAAAAAGCCUGGAAUUGGUACAAAGGAAUAUGAUGCUACAUUUUAAUGCAACGGCUUUYAGGAACAGAUGCAGCCUCUGUGGGAAUGGGCACACUGACCUGCCCUGAUCACAUCAGCUGAUUUGAGAGAGAGAAGGGCUGGAUUUCUCACCUUCUGCCCCACAGAAAUGCUGGCYGGCAACAUCCCUACAUCCCUGGGCCUGUGGAAAUUAGCCCUAUGAUGUUUCAUUGGGGAGUCAUAAUUGAGAGGCAAGAUCUUCCUACUCUGACCAUUUUGAUUUAUGGACUGUGAGAAUCUAACCUGUACUAAUUUCCCUGAGACUAAAUGCUAGUGACUAUUAACUGCUACAUGAAAUAGCAGCAUUAACUGGCUAAGACUCUCUGGUGAGAGCAAGAAGGAGGCUUAAACUGAGCAUUUUUAGAUCAAGUCAUGAGGCUUUUUC